rnacentral:rRNA from 1 species
UACGUAGGGGGCAAGCGUUGUCCGGAUUUAUUGGGCGUAAAGAGCGUGUAGGCGGCCAAGCAGGUCAGCUGUGAAAACUCGAGGCUCAACCUCGAGACGUCGGUUGAAACCGUUUGGCUAGAGUCCGGAAGAGGAGAGUGGAAUUCCCCGGUGUAGCGGUGAAAUGCGCAGAUAUCGGGAAGAACACCCGUGGCGAAGGCGGCUCUCUGGGACGGUACUGACGCUGAGACGCGAAAGCGUGGGGGAGCGAACAGG